rnacentral:lncRNA from 1 species
CUGGCCCUCUUUUUUGUUUUUUUAAAAUUAAUUUUAUUGGUACAUGUUAGGUAUACAAUAUAAUGACAUUCAUCAUCGGGAAGUUGCACCUUUAUGUAAUCUCCCUUGGUUCUUAUUUAUUGUAUGUUUCUUGACAGUCCAAGGUUUAGCAUAGUGGACCAAUCCAAAGGGCUCCAACUCCAACAAGGGACAAGGUGACAAAACUGGGUUAAAUUUGUGACUCAGGAACUUUCAACUGAGUCGCUACAAUAAAAUCCUGGGAUUUUUUUGAGAUGUAAGUUUAGUUUUUUGUAAAAUGGGAAAACAAUCCCGAAUUUACAGAGUGGAGGUGAGGAUGAAAUGAGGACGUACGUGUUUACUAAAUGGACAAAUGAACAGUGAGUGGCCAGACCCUAUGGAAGAGAGCUGCGACCUCCGCUGACAGCCAUACGCCCAGAAGACCAAUCUCCGUGCUAGAGCAACUAGUCCAGGGGCCAUCCUGCUGUAGGCCUGUGUAGCUACGCUGGUAUCUCUGGUAAGAAUCCAAGAAGCUACACGAUAACUCCACUAACCAUGUAACCAGAACUUAAUCAGUAACUGAGAGCAUCCCUCAUUUACAUCCCUACUUCCAACUUUGGACCAACAGAGAGCCACAAAUGAAGCCCCUAACCAAUUACAUGGGAUGUUUUGCUUUGAGCCUACAGCUUCCCCAGACUGGAAAGGCCUCCAAUCAGAGAACCUGAACCUUUUUCUCUACUGUGAAGAUUUCCCAGCCCUCUGCCUUGCUUUGAAUCUCUACUAAAUGCAAGUGACCGUGGCUGACUCCCUGCCUAUAGCAAACCCUGCUUAAAGAGCCUUUGCUCAUUCUCAUUUGGAUGGUCUUGGACGUUUCUGCAGUGUAAACAGACCUAUCAUGGUGACUUAUAUGUUGCCAUCAACUAUGCCAUGAACAAUUUCCUAUGUCACCUUCUUCCACUGUGAUGUUUCUGCCUUGGAGUUAGCUAACCAAGGACUGAAUUACCUGAAACCAUGAGCCAAAUUAAUCUCCUCCCCCUUUAAGAGACACGGAGCAGUAAGAAUGAUAGAUGCAGGAGCCCGAGCAAAGGCGAGGUGUGCAGAGCUUCAAAAGGAGAUGGUCAGCCCUGUCCAGACCCCUGUAUGCUGUGUAUCUGGAGAACAGAGGAGAUGCUGGAGAAUUUGUGAAAAGCUGCAGGUGAUCUACAGAGAGGAACAGGUGGACAUGGGGGAGAUUCCUUGGGUUGAAUCACUCAGAAUUUAUACUAUGAAUCACAUUUGGAAAUUGGAUGCAAAUGAAAGCUAAUUACCAUAUUCAAAAAAUCAGAACCAUUUGAAAAAUUGGAUUCUGUUGUAGGCUUCCUAGGGGUUUGCUGUUGAUUUUAUUGUUUAAUUUUGCAUUUUCCCCUGCAGAGUCAUAACAUUUUACUUUCAGCUAGAGUUUAUUCCAGAGAUCUGUGUCUGGAUUCCAGCAGCAGCUAUUGUGUUCAUGGAGAGGCUUUAAGAAGUCUGCUACCCACUGAUACUGUAUGUAAAAUAUAUAAUUUUGAGUCUAAAGCUUUCUUCAGAUUCUCAAAAAAGUCUGGAAUGUAGCACCUUUCUUCUACCUUCCCCAAGUACAGGUUGACUAGACUAUACUUCUUUUCUUUUUUUAAUUGAGUUCAUUGGUACAUUUUAGAUAUACAAUAUGAUGAGAUUUUUCAUUGGAAAUUUGUACCUUUACAUAAUAUAUCUUGGUUUUUAUUUUUUCCCUAUUCCCCUGCCCUCCCUUCAUAUACGUGCAAAGUGGGCUUUCUUUGGAGAAAACAGCUGUCCCAAGUUGACACUGCAGCUGGGAUAUGAAGUCAGCCUUCUAUCCUGGUUCUAAAAUUAUGAUUGUUUUAGUGAAGUGCAAGACUUCACUAAAGGUCAGAGAGCUGACGUCCUCUGUGAGUAGGGUGCUAUGUGAGCACAGACUCCUAAGGUGAUUAAGACUUUCUCCCGAGCCUCCAGGAAACCUAGAAGACCAUGGUUAUCCAGAAGCGCCUUUGGGGCUCCCUUUGCUACAAGUGUUUGGGGCUUCACUGCCUUCCAAAUAAGAAACCCCUAUUUGCACAAGGUGCUUGGGAAGCAAGCAUUCUACUUUCAAAGCCCUAAUAAUAAAAGCAGGGCAGGGAAAACUAGAAAAUAAUCACUAUGACAACUGGGUUGCACUACACUAGCUGAAAGAGGGGUGCCUCCCUCCUUGACCAUCACAAUUUUGAUACUUUUAGGAGACACAAACAUAAGCACAUUUCUGCCCCAAAGAGCAACUUCCUUUCUUUUUCACCAGGUACAAGAUUGCUAGGUCUCUAUCUAAACUGCACUUAGUUGACCAGUUUCUACUUUGUUUCUUGGUAAAGGCAUGAUAUGGGUCUGAAAAUAGGGAUGGUAUCCCUGUGAGGCGAAUCCUGAGGUGUGAGUCUUCUCUCGAAUAUUAACUGCCAGUGGAGGCCAGAAUCAGGAACAGAGUUUAUGUUCUCCUUCAUAUUGUCAGCAUAACUGCACAGUUAGAAAAACCUAGAGAUUAUUUGAGUUUCAUUUACCUACAUGCUUUGAAAAAUGGUAUACUGUCUUGAGUUGUUCUUAAGAUUUUAUUUGCAUUUCUGUUUCUCAGCCAAUGAAUAGGGCAAAUGAAGAGGGAUUUAAGACUGGCUCAGUUCUUUGCAUAUCUUGCUUUGGACGCAGUUAAGAACCUGAAAUCUCCUGUGUUUAGCUAAGGGCACUUAGGAACCAUGCCCUCAGCUCAUCACUGACUGAGGGUCUACUUUAAGGACUCUGAUAAAAACUACGCUUGAAUAAUGACCAUCCAGCUGCUGUUCUGCAAAAGCUCAUGGUCUUGUUGGAAAGAUGGACACACCCAGCAUGGAAACAGCGCAGUCUCAUAUGGGCUGAAUUGUAUACUCUUAAAAUUUAUAUGCAUAAUUCUUAAUUCCCAGUACCUCAGAAUGUGACUGUAUUUGGAGGCACUCUCAUAGCCCAAAUGGACCAAGACACCUGCUGUUCCUUACUUGUUUGUCUGCUGCUCUGAAAGGACAAUCAAUGCGAAGACAAAUGUGUUUACCUUGAGGAGGCUAGAAACAUACAAAAUGCCUGCUGAGCUCAAAUGUGUGGACUUGCUUCCUCCCCAUAAGGAAGCAGGACCCUCUGGUCUGAACUAUAAACUGAGCUCAAUUGUUGCAGGGGAAACUGCAGUGAAGGCGAAACACAUGUCUGAGUCACAGAAGCACACAGAUUAAGAAGUUUGAUAAAUCAGGUGACUGUGAACAACACAGACUUUAAGCCCUCAAUUCCACUUUUAGACUGUGACGGCGGAGGUAUGGACUCACCCAACCUGACGUUGUAAGAGAAGGGGUUAUUAGGAAAUCGAGUAAAUUUUCAUUUUUGGGAUCCAUGUUUAAGACAACUGAAACAACACUAGAGGAGGGAGACAUUCUUCUGAUGAAAAACAAACUCCAAAGUCAGAUUCAGAGCUCAGAAGGGAGUGCUGAAUCGGAGCACAGAACCUUGUGGCACAAUGCGGACACACCAGAAGCUCCCAAAGCCAGGCAACAGAAAAGCUCUGCGGAGAGAAGUCACAAUAGAAGUCCUUCAAAAGUGAUGGUUUCCCAAUCCCCUGAGGGAGGGGCCUCUACCUCCUCUAUGGAGUGCUGUAUCUCCAUGGUCUAAAGCAAUGUAUGAUGGUUAGAAGCUUCCUGCAAAUGGUGGUUGAGUCAAUGGAAGUUGAAAGUGUUGAACACUAUAAAUGGAUCUGAGCUUAAGAGUCCACUCUGGCCUUUGCUAACUAUUUACCUGUCUGAAGCCUAAUUUGUAAGAUUGGAUGACGCUGCAGCAACAUUUUGUUAAGUACCAGAAUCCCAGAGAAAUCACUGGAAGCAUUUUAUCAGAGGAACAGAUGGUUGAGUCCCUCCUGGUUUGAAGACAUUUCUGGCUGUCAUGUGGUUUUUCUAUAAAUAAACCCCACUGAAAGGCGAGGGAAGAUAAUAAAACCCACAUCUGCACCAUGACUUCCUGGACAUGUGAGCAGAGUGAAGCCACUGGUUGUGUCCAUUUCUCAAGAAAGUUACAGCAUUGGACAGAGAGGAAGACCGGGUGUAUCCAGCUAACCCUCUGGCAGUUUUUAAUGCAUAUGACUGAGACAGAGCAAGAGACAUGGAGAAGAAUUUCCCUGGGCCUUGAACAUGCACAGGAGCAGAAGUUCAGGAUCAGUGAUGCCAGGUCGGAGAUAAGAAGUAGAUGCCAAGAAAUAGAGCUGAAGAAACCAAGGCAUAGAAAGUUUGAAUCUUGGACCCACGAUCACAUAGGAAAUCAGAGGAAACAACAGAAAGCUUGGACGUGCUCUGCCUCUAUCCCUCUCUGUCAGCAGCUCUUGCCAGAGCCCAGUGAUGCUGGUAUGCUAAUCCCAGACUCCACAACUAAACCCAUCAGAUUCAAGUUCUCUGGAUGGUGCUCGCCCAACACCUAUGGACAGGCACAAUAUUUCAAUGGUUUCAAGAAGGUAUCCUGGGAGAAGUGAACUGAAAUAUGGAGGAUGCCUUGGAAGAGGAAGGAGCUAGAAGAGAGCAUGGUGAAGUCUGUGGCCAGAGUGCUGUGGAUGGAGAAGGGAUGGAAGGAGGGAAUUCAGAAUUUCAGCGUCCCAGGAAAGCUUCGGUGUGCUAAAAGAGAAUGGAAGCAUUGAGAGCGUUUCACACGGCUCAGGAACCCUCCAAGAGGCGACGCCAGUUCUCCACGACAGUUACCUGUUCAACGGAACUUAACUAACACACCUGUGUAUCAUCCCUGCAACAUACACGGUAAUGAUUUCCUAUUUCUUUGUGGAAAACACAGCUGUUCCAGACUCUUCACAUGUAUCUAGUCCUCCCAAGUCCCAG